rnacentral:rRNA from 1 species
UUCGGAGGGGGCUAGCGUUGUUCGGAAUUACUGGGCGUAAAGCGCACGUAGGCGGCUUUGUAAGUUAGAGGUGAAAGCCCAGGGCUCAACCCUGGAAUUGCCUUUAAGACUGCAUCGCUUGAACAUCGGAGAGGUAAGUGGAAUUCCGAGUGUAGAGGUGAAAUUCGUAGAUAUUCGGAAGAACACCAGUGGCGAAGGCGACUUACUGGACGAUUGUUGACGCUGAGGUGCGAAAGCGUGGGGAGCAAACAGG